UGAAGGGUGGUGUAACGGUAAACAUUCCUGUCUUUGAAACAGGUAGAUGAAAGUUCGAGUCUUUCCCCUUCAA
rnacentral:tRNA from 1 species